AGGUAGCAAUACUUUGGUGGCGGCCGGCGCACGGGUGCGUAACGCGUAUGUAACCUACCUGUAACAGGGGCAUAACACUGAGAAAUUGGUACUAAUUCCCCAUAAUAUUCGGAGAGGCAUCUCUCCGGGUUGAAAACUCCGGUGGUUAUAGAUGGACAUGCGUUGUAUUAGCUAGUUGGUGAGGUAACGGCUCACCAAGGCAACGAUACAUAGGGGGACUGAGAGGUUAACCCCCCCACACUGGUACUGAGACACGGACCAGACUCCUACGGGAGGCAGCAGUGAGGAAUAUUGGUCAAUGGACGCAAGUCUGAACCAGCCAUGCCGCGUGCAGGAAGACGGCUCUAUGAGUUGUAAACUGCUUUUGUACGAGGGUAAACUCACCUACGUGUAGGUGACUGAAAGUAUCGUACGAAUAAGGAUCGGCUAACUCCGUGCCAGCAGCCGCGGUAAUACGGAGGAUUCAAGCGUUAUCCGGAUUUAUUGGGUUUAAAGGGUGCGUAGGCGGUUUGAUAAGUUAGAGGUGAAUCCCGGGGCUUAACUCCGGAACUGCCUCUAAUACUGUUAGACUAGAGAGUAGUUGCGGUAGGCGGAAUGUAUGGUGUAGCGGUGAAAUGCUUAGAGAUCAUACAGAACACC
rnacentral:rRNA from 1 species